ACGUUACGUAACCUCGGUUACCUGUUAUUGAAAAAUAAUUCGUUAAUUAAAUGGCUUAUUUUAUUAUAAUCAUAUAAAUUUUAAAAAUGUACGUACUAAAUAAUCGUACAUUAUUACUGUUUAUUUGUAACGGCUGUUGCUAUCUGCAUCGCGCUGUACUUUGACAACUCUUUCUUGUCAAACGUAUACCGGUUGGCUGCGUCCCUUUCCCCCGCGGACCCUCUCUCCGCGCGGAGACGCGCCUCAGCCGAGCGGUCAGUCAGAUUUAGCUAUCAGUCGCCGGCCCACGCUCGCUUGCCUUGCGCAGUGACUAUCGUGUGGCCGGCGACAAAUGAUUAAUAUUUUAAUAGAUAUCUGUAUCGUUUAAUAUCUUCAAAUGUAAAUGAGUAGUGUUUAAAUCCCCAAUUGGGGUGCUAUGGUACGGGUGAUCACCGGCCAUGAGGCCACCAUCACGCUGACUCCAAGGACCUGGUGCUGACCCUGGCAGUCACGGCUGACGUUCUUCAGCACUCCGUCACUUCACCUACAUAGCGGAGCCAGGGAAGUACUAGCGUGUGGGCUACAGCUGCUUUCUUAAUCCGGGAGUAAAAUUAAUCAGACGGUUAACGGACUUUGACCCUUCGACGAUUGUUUCGAAUGCUUGCGACGGUUUAAGCGGAAUAAAUUUGUGAAGUGAGAUCUUUUGUUUAAUUUACUACUUCCCCGCCUUUAAACGUAGCAGUGGCGCCCUUACGUGGUUUUUUUAAAUAAAAAGUCUGAUUUUACUCCCGGUUAAGUAGUUGUGGUGUUGUACUUGGUGUUGGUUUUUAUGUUUUUAUUUUUGUGAAACGUUUUUUUUAUUUUUGGUUGCCAGCAGCUAACGUGUAGGGGACUGUUUUUUUUUCUCUUUUGUGAACAUAACUGAAGUUUUCUCAUGGUACAGUCGGACACAUAUAUAUUUUUUGUAACAAACUAAUAUUUGAUGUGAUGCAUAUAUCGUUAUGAAGGAUUGUUAAUUGUUGCUGAUUUUGUCCGGCAGUGCAGUUUUUAACAUUUUAAAAUUCUAAAAACAAUUGUUUAAUUUUAGUAUUGUGUUUUUUCGGUUUCUUACACAUUAGUUGCACUUUUAACGCUUUUUUUUUGUUUUAUACUUUUCUUUGUGUGUUUUACCCUUUUCGCUUAUUUUUAUUUCUUUAGACUUCAGAGCGUUACAUUUUAACAAAAACAACCAGAACGUUAGUAAUUUUUCAAUUAUUAUUGUAACAGACGGAGUAUAUUUCGUUUUAUUCGUUCAACAUUUACCUAAUUUUUUUUUUCUCUUCAGUCGUUUUUAAAUAUAUUUUUUUUCCCUGUUUCAUUUUUUUUUUUUUGAAAUUGAGGUCAUUCAGUUAAUAAUGCGUGAUACCAUCUUUUAAGUACAGUUCUUGUAGGGUUUCAAGUUCAUGUAACGGGAAACCUCAUUUUAUGUAGUGAUUAUGCGCUAGUGACUAUACGCUUGGACCCUAUUUUUCAAGUAUCACUAACGUAUUAUAUGUAAGCGAGAAGUAUGAAUAAAGAUUUAUGGAAGUGUAGACAGGAGCUUAACUCUGCGGAUUUUAUUUCAUUUAGAUGAUAUAAAAUCCUUGACCACGCGGCGGGGUACUGUAACGUAGUUACGUUACGUAACCUCGGUUACCUGUUAUUGAAAAAUAAUUCGUUAAUUAAAUGGCUUAUUUUAUUAUAAUCAUAUAAAUUUUAAAAAUGUACGUACUAAAUAAUCGUACAUUAUUACUGUUUAUUUGUAACGGCUGUUGCUAUCUGCAUCGCGCUGUACUUUGACAACUCUUUCUUGUCAAACGUAUACCGGUUGGCUGCGUCCCUUUCCCCCGCGGACCCUCUCUCCGCGCGGAGACGCGCCUCAGCCGAGCGGUCAGUCAGAUUUAGCUAUCAGUCGCCGGCGCACGCUCGCUUGCCUUGCGCAGUGACUAUCGUGUGGCCGGCGACAAAUGAUUAAUAUUUUAAUAGAUAUCUGUAUCGUUUAAUAUCUUCAAAUGUAAAUGAGUAGUGUUUAAAUCCCCAAUUGGGGUGCUAUGGUACGGGUGAUCACCGGCCAUGAGGCCACCAUCACGCUGACUCCAAGGACCUGGUGCUGACCCUGGCAGUCACGGCUGACGUUCUUCAGCACUCCGUCACUUCACCUACAUAGCGGAGCCAGGGAAGUACUAGCGUGUGGGCUACAGCUGCUUUCUUAAUCCGGGAGUAAAAUUAAUCAGACGGUUAACGGACUUUGACCCUUCGACGAUUGUUUCGAAUGCUUGCGACGGUUUAAGCGGAAUAAAUUUGUGAAGUGAGA
rnacentral:lncRNA from 1 species